AUAAAACGAUCACGUGGUGGCGUAUUCUUGUCAAAACUGCUGUGAAUUAAUGUUUUCCCUCCGAAUUUUACAAGAAACAUUGUGAUGUUAGUAAGACAUGGCGGUCAUGUAACUUUAAAUUUUUGGGGGAAAAAAAUGGCCGAACAUUUUCACAGCAUAACUUUUGAAUUAACUUUAAAGGUUCAGUAGCCAGUCAGCACAAAGCGCCUUUUUGACUCCCGUGCAGCUGUUUAUAUGGACCACGUGGUCUGUCCCAGUUGCCAUCACGCAUCAAGCACAUGUAGCAGCCACCACGCGGAGCACUGUGCGCUGCCAGAUGUGCGGAACAGCAACUACAUUUACUCGACAUACUUUAACAAAUCUGAGGUACUAAUUCAAGUCUGUUUCUAGGUGUACGUGUGUGUACGAGGCAGCCUGCAGCAAGGCUCGAUUCCCAGGAGGCACCAGCAGCACAUGCUUGACAGAUCGUCCUCACAAAGCAACUCUCAAUUUUGACAGUAUUAUGGCGUCUUCAUAGUAAUGUCAAUUUUGUUUGGAUCUUACCACGCAGCAAGUACAUUACAACUCCUGUAUGGCUGGAAAAUAUCGUUUCACACUUAUAAAUGUUGGAACGCCGACUUUGGCUGUGGUGUCCUGCUUGGCGGCUGCCUCGCCUAGAUGCAAUGCCACCAGCAUCCCCCCUUCUGGUACGAAGGAGCACAUAAACACACAAUCACAAUAUGAUAUGACACAUAUUGUCAAUAUUGUACAUAUGAAAUGUGCAAAUUUAACAUACAAAGUGUUGUAGAAAUGUACAAUGGCAACUCUGCUCUGUAUGGUAGACUGGUUGAUGUCAAUGGUGAUUACAUUUGAUAUGGUAGCAGGCAGUGGUAUAAAGUGUGAGGUCUGUAUAAAAAGAAUUAAGGAUUUAUAGCUGUUUCAUGAUUUUAGUUCACUCAUGUUUCACUGUCUGAAAUCCUUGUUUCAAGUGUUUACAUUGUACUCCAGCUGGCUGUCAAACACAACAUCUGGUUUCUGAACCCUGUCACCUUCAUGUGUUAAAUCACUGUGUUCUUUCAAAAGAACCCUGCCGCGUUAAAAGAAUGAGCAAAACUAUUCUACUGCGCUGUUUCACCCACCCCUCUGCACCUGCUGUCUACCGAUAUCUAACAGGGAUGGAUUAAAGCGAGUGACUCCAACAAGUAGAACGCGCAUCAGCGGCAGCGAGGGGAAAUAGAUGCAUCCUGGGAUUUUAGGUCAGAGGGGAUUUCCUUUAUCACAGGGAUAAUGCGCAUUUAUUUCUGGGCAGCGACCCAAAAUGACCAGAUGUAUACUCGGCUGUAAAUUGUCGGUAAAAGCAUACAGUGGUAAAUCUUUGGUAAUGUUUCUUAUUAUGUCAAUUAUUUUGCCAGUGUUUACAUCCUUGCUAAUGGAGUAAAAUACUAAAACCUCUUGUCUGCGGUUAUGAGUCACCGACUGCAGCAGUUCUACUAAUUUGUGUCGUCAUAUAGCUGGCACAUGCAGUGGACAAAAUAACGGACACGCGUAAUACACCAUCUAAAGCUUUGAAGAAAGGCAUAACAGAAAGAUGAUCAGGGUUAUAAAAGAUGUAAGAAGUUUGGUUAUAAUCUGAUUUGUGAUAUUAAAAUUAAAAAAUGGCUAAAAAUGCUAAAGAAUUGCCAGAAAGGGGCUUACAUUUUGUUUUUAUCACCUGUGCAGAGAGCUUUCAUUGUGAUGUCAGUGUGUGAGGCAUUCAAUUUCAAGCAGUUAAUGCUUGUUUUUAGAAUUAUCAUCUUGAAAAUGGGAACAUGAUGGGAAAAUGUAAACUAUACUAUCAUUAUAACACCAUAUCUAUAUACCCUGACUGUUGUGUAACCAUUCAGCGCUACUGUCAGGCCAUAUUUUCUAUGGAGGUUUUGUGUUCUCCAUUCACACAAUUAACUUUUGACUGUACACUGUAUUACUUGGCCUUUGAUACAGCCUAACUGAACGGCACAGAAAUAUCAUUUUUAAAAAGUUCACUUCACGGAGCACUGAGCCUGGCACAGUGGUGUUGACUGAGUUCUGCGGUGUACUUUUAGCAGCUCCUCUUCAGUGUAGUCCUUCCCCUGCUGAUGGGCUUCAGCUUGUUAGAAGCUCUUAUCAUGUUUUGCACACUGCCUUUCUUUCCCUUCUCAGGUUUUUGCAUCUAGUGUUCCUGCAAUUUGGACACCAACCAUGUGAGGCGUGCCUCAGUUUGUGGCCAAUCUGUACUUUGUGUCAGUGAUGAGAAGGAGAUGCCAUUCAUUAUAAAUGACAUUUGAACAUUUGUGUAAUAAACAUAUCCCUGCUGUCACAAUGA